rnacentral:rRNA from 1 species
UACAUGAAAUCCUAUUGGUCAUGGACUAAGCCAUGCAAAUCCGAGUACAACUCGUAGAGUGAAACUAUGAAUAGCUCCAUAAUGCAUAUGUGAUGGAUUGAAGCACUACGUCUGGUGGGUGAAGGAUAGCUGCGGCAACUCCGGAGCUAAUCCACAUGUGACGCGCAUCUGGUUAGUUAGAUGCUUAUUUGCUCUUGAAAAAGGCAUGUUCAUCCAGCGUAUGUCCUAUCAGGUAGUUGGUAGGGUAAUCGCCUACCAAGCCUAUGACGGGUAACGGGCGGUAUCUGUCGAACUGCAGGAGAAAACGCCUUAGAGAUUGUGACUAUGUCUACUGACAGCAGCAGGCGCGCAACUUACACACUCGAGAGUCUCGGACGUGGUAAUGACCAGUUCUCCCAACAUCCUCGGAUGUGGAGAUAGAUGCUUCACCAGCGAUGUUGCAUCACAAGAAGAGGGUCAGUCUGGUGCCAGCAGCUGCGGUAAUACCAACUCUUCUAGGAUUUAAUUAUAUGUUGUCGUUGCACACUCGAAGCCACGGUUGAAUGCGUGAGACCUCUCGAAGUCUUCACUGUGAGUAAACCACUAUGCUUAGGAUAUCCCCAAACCAGAUGUUCUUCGCAUUAUGAAGGUCCUAUAUGGUUUCCAUGCCAUGUUUCUUCAUUGACCAUAUUAGACGUGAUCAAUAUAGCAGGGCGAGCGGUGAAAUGUGUUGACCCUUGUUAGAUUCCCAAAGGCGAAAGCAGGUCACGAUGGUAUAGGUGUCGGUCUAGAGUGAUGUUCAUGUGAGAGAACUGGAUUAAAGACCCAGGUAUCCAUGGAGCGCAAAAGAUAACUCCUCAUGCCUUCCUUCGGGAGGGUAUAAGUGAGAAAUCGUAUGUUCUUGGUUUCCGUGGGAACUACGAUCGCAAGGUUGAAACUUAAAGGAAUUGACUGAAGUGCACACAAGGAGUGGAGCCUGUGGCUCAAUUUGAAUCAACAUGAAGAAACUCACUCGCAUAUGGAAUGAACUAUGACUUACUUACUUACUGUGACGCAGAGAUGGUACUAGUGUGGUGUUUGUGAUGAUGUGCUUGGCUAAUUCUGUCAACAAUCGAGACUCUGGUCCGUAGCUGGGGGGAUUUCCACCAUGAAGGUUGGAUGAAAGCAGAGCAAUAACAAGUCUGUGAUGUCUUUUAGAUGCGUGGGGCUGCACGCGUGAUACAAUGCCCCUUGAACAAGGUUCUUUCGAAAGAAUUAGCUAAUCCCUGUAUGACGAUGAUGUAGUGGAGAUCGGACUCUGUAAUGGGGUCCAUGAACGAGGAAUUCCUAGCAAGUAUAUAUCAAUACCCUAUCCUGAUUAUGCCCCUGCGCUUUGUACACCGCCUGCCGCUCCUACUGAUGGGGUCAACGCUGAGCUCUCUGGAGGUUUUCCAAAGGGGUUCGAAGCUGCGAUUCUAGAAGAAGGAGAAGUCGUAACAAGGUAAGA